GGGGUUGUGGCUCAGCAGCAGAGCGCUUGCCUAGUAUGUGCAGGUCCUUGGGUUCAAUCCUCAGCACCACA
rnacentral:tRNA from 1 species